UUUCAGGCUCCAUGCAAUUGAACAUCGCCCAACCCGGUCAGGAUCGGAAGGUAGCAGCCGUAAGUGAUUGUUUGAUGUGUCAUGACCCGCUUGAGAGGA
rnacentral:SRP_RNA from 2 species